ensembl:lncRNA
GGGUCUACCUUGGAAAGAGACUCACCACGCCUUCCACCAGCUCUUUCUAAAUCCAAACUAAAGCAGUGCCUGGAAGUUGUCCUGUCUAAAAAAAAUAUUUGUGCUAAAAUGCCCUCUUUUCCUCUGCAUCCAUUGUUUACCUAGCUAGCUUCCUCCUCCCUUUUCCAUUCUAUAUUCUGUUUACUCAGAUUUUUUUCCUAUGUUUUUACCACUUUACCUGACACUGACUCACCCCAGUUUUUUUUAUGUUGGGUGCUUUUGGAAGGUUCACAAUUCGUCAAUGUUUGGGACCCUUUACCUUUUGACACAGAUUGGGCACAGUGCGAACUGUAGCAUCAGACAGUAAUGACCACUAUCAACCCAUAAUAGUUCACAGCCCCUGCCUGAACCUGACUGUGGUACUUUUGGAACCAAUGAUUCUCAAUUCAGUUAUUGAAAUCCUAUACUGCACAAACUAUGAGGUGGCCGGUAUUGGAUGGCAGGGGGCCUGAACCUUUGGGAAUCUCUUUGAGAUUUCCAUAUAGAUGCCUUAGCUUAGACAGAGAUUUUGCUGUGAGAGGUCAAGUGUCUUGGAGUGUUUUAUCUUCCUGCUCCUUACUCCAAGUCAGUUAAUUGCAUAGUGACUUGCACCUGAACCAAAAAAUAAGCUCCAUAUCUGAAGUACACUCUUCAAGAGUUACAGUGACUCUGAAUCAAGUGGUAUUGUUGUUCAGUUUGUUUGUUUUUUGCAAUGGUUUGGAUUUUUUUUUUUACCCAGACUUUAAUUCAGCAGAAGUUUUGUUGUAAUUCCACCCCAUUCUAGUUGUACCUAAUUUGUCAUAUUUUAGUAGCACCAAUUUUCUCUAAAGAGGGUGGUCUCUUGGUGAAAGGAUGUGAAUAUUAAUGCUAGUGGUUACUGCAAGUUUCCAUUGAUUAUCAGGAAAACAACCUAGCAAAUAGUUAAACAGAUGGGUGUGUUGAUGCAGAAAGAGUAGCAUGUCUAAAUGCUAUGCAGUACAUGGUGAAGUACUGCAGUAGUAAGGAGAAGGGCAAAUUUUGAAUGAAGAUGUCAUUUUUUUAUGUAGAUAUAAUAUAGUAGAUACAAAUAUACACAUCUGCCUGCCUGCUGUUCAGUAACUCAAAUGUGUCAAUACUACACAUUCUUCAUCUCUUUUGUCAUAUCUUGUGUUUUUUUCAAGCUGAUUCUAAAAACCUUUGAAUUGACGUUUUCCUGUGUGGCUACACACCCUCAGAGUGAGAUCCAGUGUAUAGGUCCAGCCACCAUACUGAGUUGGAUGUAUUAGUGGAAUUAUGAUAUAACUGUCCACAAAUGACUACUGCAUAUUGCCAAAUAUAGAUAUAUUUUCAUCUCAGUGCUUUCAUUGCAUUGGAAAGGUACCACUGACACUGAUCUCUCAACUAUUGGAGAAGUUGAACUAUAGGGUUAGACAAACUCAAACAGACAAACUCAAACUAUCUCCAGCUCUGAUAAGUUUUGACAUGGCCCUUGGUGAUCUGUUUUAUGUAAGCAUGGGCUCUAUUCAGCCAUUACCCAUAGGCAGACAUUAUCUACCUUAUUAAGGUAACGUAAGUAAUGCUUUUUGUAUAUGUGUUUAACACUGACCUAUUUUAAUAAUUAUGAUAAAUUACCCUUUUUUGGCAAUGGUAAAAAACAUGUUUUCUUUUCAUCACACUAGGUAAUUAUCCCAGGAACUCCCUGGAAAGUGGUUAUACAGAACCAGCACUCCUCCACUGUAUUGAGUUGCUUGGUGAUUUAGGGUUUUGUAUUGUAUCUUUAGGGGGAAGGUUGGUGGGCAAUGGGGAUAGGUGUGAUGACAUGAGUGGGGUAUUUUUUUUCCUUCUGAGUGGGAUUGUUUUUUUGUGCCUUUUCUUGGUUUGUACCAACUCAAAGUAACUCCCAUUGCAUGCAUGCCCUUAGUUUGUAAUUGGCAUUUACGUAGUAUAAUUCACGAGAUGCCAAAGGUUGUUAUAGCUUUCAUAAAAAUUGUGAAGUCCGUCCUUGUUUGUAAGGCAGAAGAAGUAUGCACAUUAUCAUUGAUGUUUUUUUCUUCUGAUAAUCCAAAAUACAAACUGAAAUAUGAUUUUCUUGUUUGUAUGGAGGGCAGGGCCCUCAGGAAUUUAUUGCUUGUAAAAAAAUAUUCCAGAAGCAAGAAGUUUCAGCCAUGUAGAUUGAUUAAUUGUAAUCAUAUUGAAAAAACUGACAUUAAAAUUAGAAAUUAACCACAAUACUCCCAAGCAGAGUUUUUGAAAGGAAAAAAUGGAGAACAUAAAUGUACUGUAAAACACAACAUGUUGUAAAACAAAAUGAUGGAAAUAAUAUUGAUUGUUGUGAAACCCCCUCCUACCAAAUACACAACCACAACUGCUUUUCAUGCUCCCAUUUUAGAAUAACUUUUCCAGGGGAGUGGGGUUAUAAGUGGGAAGAGCAUUAUACAACCUUUUGAAUAGGAAAAAGCAGGAGGGCAAAAUUAUGUGCUCUCAUAUCAAGUGAGAAUGAGUGAGCAGGAGAGGAUUGAUGCUUUCCAAAUAUUUGAGUUCCUUAUAAAGUCAUGUCAACAGAAGAGGAAGGUAGGUGAUAGAUUAGUGUUAAUGUGUCUUUUUCUUGGCUUUACAUUUUUUAAAUGUAUUUAUUUGACCUUUAUUUAACCAGGUAGGCAAGUUGAGAACAAGUUCUCAUUUACAAUUGCGACCUGGCCAAGAUAAAGCAAAGCAGUUCGACAGAUACAACGACACAGAGUUACACAUGGAGUAAAACAAACAUACAGUCAAUAAUACAGUAUAAACAAGUCUAUAUACAAUGUGAGCAAAUGAGGUGAGAAGGGAGGUAAAGGCAAAAAAAGGCCAUGGUGGCAAAGUAAAUACAAUAUAGCAAGUAAAACACUGGAAUGGUAGUUUUGCAAUGGAAGAAUGUGCAAAGUAGAAAUAAAAAUAAUGGGGUGCAAAGGAGCAAAAUAAAUAAAUAAAAAUUAAAUACAGUUGGGAAAGAGGUAGUUGUUUGGGCUAAAUUAUAGGUGGGC